GGGGGCGGGGAGUGGGGCCGGGCGCGCGCCGGGGCGCCCCACCCCGCCUCCGCCCCCGCCCCACGCGCCGGCGGCGCGGACCUCCUUGUCAAUGGGAGCGCGGGGCCGGGCUGCCCGCAGGACGGUCAGGUGGGCCCCCCAGCUCGCUGCCAGCGCGGCCUCUGUCCCUCUCGGGCCGGCUCUCCAUCUUGUCGCCCGUAGCCCGCCUUCUCCGUGGCUCUCCAGCCGCUGGGGCCGCAGAGCCGAGGCCGGGUUACCUCAGGAAACGCGAUGUGGUAGUGGGUCGGAAUAAACCCGCGCGCCCCAGAAUUCGCCUUGGGGGCGUAAGGACAGAUUCGGACUUUUCGUUUCCUAUGUCCACAUUUAUUGAGCACCUAAUAUGUGACACCCGAGGCUGUAAGAAGAGGAACGCAGCGGGCGGAGAAAAGCCAGAGCUUUUUCUCUGUGAGCCGCUGCCUCCAGGGCCAUAGCCGACCCUGCUCCGAGAUCCCAGCCGCCGCUCUCCGUGCAGGAGGGGUGCCCACCCUGGGGAGGCCAGGGUGCCCGGAGUGGAGGGACAGGGCUUCAAGCGACCGGGAGUUUCCAGCAAACCCCUGAUCCCUGAGCAGUUUAUUUUAAAAGCUUUUGCAAAUGUUGGACGGUUUCGUUUGGUGGAGGCCGUCUUUGCACUAAAUUCUCCUGUCCUCCCCCUUCGAAACGCACAAAAUGAAUUUUGAACAGAUUUUGGAUGAGAGGUUUUCUUCCUUUUUUCAUCUUCUGAAACAUUUCCCCCUCAUUUCUUCUCAGAUAAAGACCCAGAAACCCGGGACAGUUACUCGGUGUACAGCUAGUCAAAUACUGAGGAAACCAGUCGAUAUUUGCCAAAGAUUGGGCAUGUUCUGGGUGGUCUCAGAUUUUGAAGAAACGACUUUUUUACUGCACAAAAUAGUUUUACAAUCAGUUCCAUCAGACAGCCCCAGGGGCUCUCCUAGGGAAAGGGGCCAAUAGGCAAGGUUGCAUGGGGAUAAGAGAGGCAAGCGGCCAGUGGAAAACGGUUUUUUGUUUUUUUUUUCCUAACAGUUGGGCAUUUCUGUAGCUCUGAAAGCAAACUUGUUUGUUUCAUUUCAACGAUAGAAAAAAAACACUCCUGUUUUGGAAAUGUAACCCAGCAUAAAAAUACAUUUGCAAUGGGGAAAAAGAAAGCAGUUUAGGGCCACCCAGAAGAAAAUAUUUUUUCCCUGAUUUUUUUUUAAUUUGGUAUUUCCCAGUGUGGGUUUGCCUCAUUUUACAAAUAGCUGCCCAUGUCAAGAUGUGGGUAUGUGAUUUAAAUAUUUUAAUUUGAAUCACAUUUUACAUAGUCUAGGAAACUGACAAAAGAAUCCUAUAGAGAAUUGUUUUAUAAAGUGAAUAACUGCUUCUCUACCUACCCGCCCCUCUCAUUCUUCUUUUCUGUGCGUGUUUUUGGGGGGCUGUUAUGGGAUAAAUCUUGUUUGGCUUAAAAAUCACUAAAACGCAGCCUUUCAAAUCCAAAACAGAGAGCUUAGGUACCCAACAUUCUAUAGAAUGUAUUAUUUCCUCAAGAGGUUGCUAGGAACAGUUAUGUAGAUCUACCAGGUGCAGGGAAGCACUCCACACCCUCACCCAGGUCCUGUAUCCCUGCAAGACUGCGUUGGAAAGACUGAAGAGGCUGGAGUGCAGUGGCGCAAUCUUGGCUCACAGGAACCUCCGCCUCCCAGGUUCAAGAGAUUCUCAUGCCUCAGCCUCGCGAGUAGCUGGAAUUACAGAGCUGACAAGCCAUAGCAGGACGGCUAUCCCCUGAGAGAUAGGAGAGGAGGAGAAACAGCCUGACAGGGGCCUGGAGCAGCUGGCUGGCGUCAGUAAUUUCCUGCAGGAGACUCUGCUGGCCGAGCACACAUCACCCUUCUGUUGCUCCUCUGUAUUCUCCCUUGUGCUACUAAAAUACGCUAAUGUAACUCCUGGGCUGUGCUAAGCUAAAUGCAGUUAUUUAACCUCAUUUCUAUGGAACCCAGGUCUAAAGCAGCAACAUCUAUUUGGAACAAGAUGGGGAGGAGGUGAUGGGAUGAUCUGUGCAGCAAACCACCAUGGCACACGUUUACCUAUGUAACAAACCUGGACAUCCUGCACAUGUAUCCUGGAACUUAAAAUAAAAGUUGAAGAAAAAAAAAAAAGAAAAAGUUUUGUGAAGUCUGGAGGUGUAAUGGACAGACACAGGCUUAGGGUGAGGCAGGCCCAUGUUCAGAUCCUUGCUUCCUCACUAAGCUAGCAGGGAGACUGGCUAUAUCACCGAGCCUCAGUUUCCUCACCUGUACAUCUGCUGUAGAAGUGGCAUAUCAUAUGCUGUCCUGGCUGUGACCUUUGGUAGCUCAUCACUGCCCUUCUUACUGUUCUCAGGGUAAACCCCUUUCCAGGCAGAGUUGCCAAGACACCCAGUAAAAUUUGAAUUUCAGAUAAACACUGAAUAAUUUUUUAGUAUAAUGAUGCUCCAAAUAUUGCAUGGGAUAUACUUAACACUAAAAAAAAAAUCAUUGUUUGUCUGAAAUUCAGAUUUAACUGGGCAACCUGCAUUUUUAAAUAAACUUUUAAUUUUAGAAUCAUUUUAGAUUUACAGAAAAAAAUAUAAAGAUCGUACAGAGUUACCACACACCCUGCACCCAGUUUCCCCUAUAACUAAUAUCUUACGUCGAGCCAGUGCAGUGGCGCACAUUUGUAAUCCUAGCUGCUCAGGAGGCUGAGGUGGGAGUAUUGUUUGAGCCCAGGAGCUCGAGGCUGCAGUGAGCCAUGAUUGCACCAUUGCACUCCAGCCUGAGUGACGGAGUAAGAUGCCAUCUUUUAAAAAAAAAUCUUAUGCCAGUAUGAUACAUUUGUCACAAUUAAUGAACUAAGAUUGAUAUAUUAUCAUUAACUAAAGUCUAUACUUCAUUAGAUUUCCUUAGUUUUUCCCCAGUGUCCUUUUCUAUUCCAGGAUCCUGUCCAGGACACCAUAUCAUAUUUAGUUGUCAAGUCUUCCUAGUUCCUCUUGGCUGUGACAGUUUUUUAGACUUCCCUUGUUUUUGAUGACCUUGACCGUUUUGAGGAGCACUGGUCUGGGGUUUUGUAGAAUGCCCCUCAAUUCAGCCUGUCAGAUGUUUUUCUCAUGAUUAGGCUGGGGUAUUAUUUUUUUGGGAGGAAGACCACAGAGGUCAAGAGCCAUUCUCUUCACAUCUCGUUAAGGGUCUGUACUGUCCAUAUGACUUACCACUGUUGAUGUUGACCUUGAUCACCUGGCUAAGGUAGUGUUCAUCAGGUUUAGCAACUGUAUUUUCAUUUGCUAAAUCUGUAACUCGAUUCCAGGCCUGUCAGUCUUUCAUGACCAGACCUUUGCUUACUGCUGCUGCCAUUUUUCUGCUCCAACCAUAGUGAACUGCUAACAAUUCCUCUAAUGAACUAUUCUCUGUCUCUCUUACUGCCAGGCCUUAGGGCUUGCUCUUUCCUUUGCCUGGAAUGUUCCACUCCCCCACAGCCUCCCAUCCACACCUCCCCUUCACCCGAUUAACUUACUUUUCAGUUGGGCUUCAGUGUUCCGCUUAGGUCUCACUCCUUCCGGGAAGAUUUCUUGCACCCUCCUCUGCCAAGACCAGGUUAGGUGUUGCUUCUCUGCCCUGGUCCUACUGUGUUGUGAUAUUUACCAUCCUGUGGUUGUGAACUGUUUGCUUGUCUCCCUGACCCCAGUGCAUCCCUGACAUCUUACACAGUGCCUUGUUGCAACUCAAUAAAUAAUUGCUGAAUAAAUGAAUGGUUACACCAGGCACUUCAGGUAAAGCCUUUAACACACUACCUGCCUUGUAAACAGUAGAUGCUCAGUAAAUGCUUGUCUUUUUCAAUGUAGGAAAAAUAAUCUUCCCUAGAUCUGAGCAACUGUAAUAAGUUUGUGCUCGCCCGACACCCGCAACACAUGUCCCUACCUGGAGAAGAGAUUCUGGAACAGUGGUCUCCUAGGAUUCCCUGAGAGCCACAGUUACCUGUAUCAAAGUAUCAAGGAGGCCACUUAAUGACAGAGAUAUUAGGGUAAGUAGGCUACUUUCCGUCAGUUUGCAGAUUAAAAAGGCAUCUUUCUCCCAGUGGAGAAACUGAAUUAUGAACCCCUUCGCCCAGAUUUCCAUAGUUGGACGCGCUGACCCAUUAUUUUUAGUGAAAGGGACAAAGGGACCCACCUCCUUCUCUUUUUGCUGCCCAUGUGCCACACACAUGUAAAUGACAUGUGUACCUAUUGUUGCUUGUCCUUGAUGAUGAGUACACUUGUACAUUGAUAUAUUUAUUAGUGUUUUGCUUUUCACUAAUCCAGCAUAGUUGUGACCCCACCCCUGAGACCUAAAGGAAGGAGACACCUCAUAGGGGGUCUCAGGAAUCUCUGAUGAACCUUAGGACUAAUUAUAAUUCUUUCAUUUAUUAUAACUUCAUGCCAGGUAUUUUAUCUGCCUCACCUCUAAUCCUCUCAAUAACCUUGCAUGUUUUUAUUCAUCCCGUAUUACAAAUGAGAAAGCUAAGGUUUGGGUGCUUAAGAAAUUUUCCCCAAGUUUUUUUUGUGGUGGAGCCAGCUUGGAGCUAGGGCAAUAGACUUCAGAGUCUCAGCUCCAUCCUCUCCAUGGUUCAGAAAGUUCUCUAGUUCUGUAAGAGACAGCCAACAUCCCCCAAGGGCUUGUGCUCAUUGGAAUGGCUCUCGGGUCCACUCCUCCCUUUGUAUCCCCAGGUCACCUCACUAGAGCAGACCUCCAUCAGUCAGUGUUUACCCACCUUCCAGAGCCUCCUUCCUGGACUCUUGCCCCCGGAUUCCCCACCCAUAGCACUCUCACACUGCCAUCGCCCAACUCAGGAUCCCAAGAAUGCCCAUUUUCAGCCUUAUAAAUCCUUUGCCUUGCUUCCAAGACCCUAUGGUCUAUUUCUUUUCCAAGCCUUCUCUCCGUGCAUCAGAUUCUUCAUGAAACUUACACUGACUAGUCCCCCACCCAUCUCCCUUUCCUUGGAUCUUCAUGGCACCUAGGUAUGCAAGGCAUAAAGUAGUGUAGAAUGCCCUUCUGGCUUGUGUGGAACCACAGGGGAGUCCCCUGGGUUUCUAAUAUGGUUUUCCCAUCUGGAUUGACACCCCCGAAGGACAAAAACCUCUUGUUAAAAAAGUCAACUUUAUUGAGGUAUAACAUACAUACACCCUGUUUUAAGUGUUGAGUUUGAUAAGGUUUGACAAAUGUAUACACCCAGGUAACCACCGUCACAACCAAGAUAUAGAACAUUUCUAUCACCCCAGAAAUACCUCUGAGCCCCUUUGUAGUCAAUUCCUCCACCCCCGACCCAGGAAGCCACUUGUUGGAUUUCUAUUAAUAUAGAUUAGUUUUGCCUGCCGUUGAACUCCACAAAAAUGCAGUCACAAAGGGUGUAGUCUUUUGUGUCAGCCUAUUUUGGUUAGCACGAUAUUUUAAAGAUUCCUCCAUACUGUUUAUUACUUUCUUCUUGCUGAGUAGUAUUCUAUGGUAGAGACUAUACUACAACUUGAUUGUCCAUGUUGACUAAAUUUGAGGCUGUUUCACAUUUUUGGCUAUUGUGAAUAAAGUAGCUAUGAAUGUUUACACACAAGCCUUUUGUGAAUGUGUUUUCAUUUCUU
rnacentral:lncRNA from 10 species